rnacentral:miRNA from 1 species
UUCUCUCUGUCUUUCUCUCUCAG